CUCCCGCUCCCCGUCCUCCCCCCUCCCCGGGGGAGCGCCGCGUGGGGGCGGGUUCC
rnacentral:precursor_RNA from 1 species